rnacentral:lncRNA from 1 species
UGCUAUGCUAGCAAAAUAGUUUUUGCAAUGUUUUAAAACAAAGCUAAUGUACGAAUCCCUUGGUUGUUUCAAUCCUUCAGUCUGUCAAACGAACAUGAAAGGAGGAAAAUAAUCCAUAAUGUGGAGCUGAAGCUUGGUCGGCAGGGGUGCAACUUUUACAUGGCUCAAAAGCGGGAUCUUUAUGCCUACAGCAGCUACAAGCAGUCUGUCUAGAAUCACCUGAACAAAAACACCUUGGAGGAAGCUGCUUGGUCAUCCCUUCCCUGUAUUUGGAGAAAAAGGCUUCAUAAAUGGCAUGUUUGCUUGGACCCCUCUGGCAGUUGAGGGCAGCAUGUCAGCUUAUCAGCUUUUUGGGAACAUAGUUAAAGAGAGAAGAUGUUCUGUCUCCGAGGCCAUCCGUGAUUGCUCUUUGGUGGGUGCGAGACAGAUGCUGCUCAGUCACUGCCCGAUUUUCUUACUGCCCUGGAAUUCCCCUGAGCUGAAAUGCUGCAUGUUUUCCUGCUACGCUGUGCACUGGGAAGCUCAUCAACUGGGCAGACUACCAAACUGGCA